GCACGGGUCAUAAUUGCAUCCAAGGUCUCCAUGACGACCUGCCUGAGCCAUGCGCUCAGAACUGUGGGGUUAGUGACAUCCCACGACCGGGCCGAACCCAGUCCCAAGAACAAGGCUUGCCUACUCAGGGCAAGGACCCCCAAGCGAGGAGGCCUGCUCAAGAGGCAGGUGCUGUACCAUGCCUCCCACUCCCUGAGGACAAGUCGGACAAGAGCGGAAACACUGUAAGGUAAUCUGUUCCACACGGCAAAGUCACCUCUUUCAUCUGAGUGCACAGAGUGGGUGCGACACCUGUAUGGAGCUCGCGGGUUGCUUUAGUCCAGUGAUGGGGAACACUUUACAGCUUUCAGGGAUACAAACCGUCUGCUGCUGCAGGGUCGCCACCCCUGCUUUGGUCUCCAGCAAAGCACUGUCCAGUAGCAACAACGUUUCUAGUAGUCAUAUUUGAAUAAGGAAAAGGAAACUGGUAAACUUAUCAACAUUUAGUAACAGAGUUGAAUAAAUGUGGCUAAUAUAGUUUAUUAACCCAUUAUUUCAACACAUGAGCGAUAUAAAAUUGUCAUUCAUUUCCUCUUGCUAUUUAGAAUUUAGUGUACAUUUCACACUUCAGCAGAUCCUUGUGGAAUGAGUUAAUUUCCCCAGCCCUAAUUGCUACAGGCUACCCCAGGGGAUAGUGUAACUGUAGCAUUUAAAUCCGUGACCGGUUUUUAAAUGUUCUGUGAUCAGAUCUAGUUUAAAAAUUUUUUCUUAAACCUAGUGUGGUAGCACACACCUAUAAUCCCAGCACCCGACUGUAAUCCCAG
rnacentral:lncRNA from 1 species